UACAGAGGGUGCGAGCGUUAAUCGGAAUUACUGGGCGUAAAGCGUGCGUAGACGGCUAUCUAAGUCGGAUGUGAAAUCCCCAGCUUAACCUGGGAACUGCAUCCGAUACUGGAUGGCUUGAAUUCGGGAGAGGGAUGCAGAAUUCCAGGUGUAGCGGUGAAAUGCGUAGAUAUCUGGAGGAAUACCGGUGGCGAAGGCGGCAUCCUGGACCGAGAUUGACGCUGAUGAGCGAAAAGCUAGGGGAGCAAACGGG
rnacentral:rRNA from 1 species